UCCGCCCAGGGGAAGACGGAGCCGAGUCAGGUGGCGGACUGGGUGACUGACCGGACACGUGCAGUGUGCCUGCGAGGAGAAGCGCGACGAGGGAACUGCCGUUAGAACCGGAACGUUUUGGCCGAACAUGAUGAUGCCAUGCAAUGUCAUUGCGGAGAUGCAUGGAGUGGGGAAGCAUGAGUGCAUUCUGUAGUAAUGAGUUUGAAUGUCUGGCCACGGCACAGGGUGAUGCGCAAGCCGAAACGGACAUAGCACACCCUGUUAGAGUGAACAUUUCCUCUCCCCCACCUAGGUCGGGCGCUUCAGGCUAUGGAAGGAGCCCGAUGCCCUGAUAUGGUGGGGAACGCUGAACGCUGUAUGCAUGUGUGCAUGUGCUGCUGUUCGCUGUCCAGUGCAACGUGCACGCGAAUUGAACCCGCCAAAAGCCUACCUGCAGGGUCUCGACUCUCGACUCAGGAUCCAGGUGGCAGGCGCCAGGUCCGCCAGCAUCCUUGAAGAAGGCCAGCAUCCUGAAAAGACUAGCGUGGCACCCUAAGCAGCACGUCACAAGGCCAGGGACCGGCCGGCUGCCGGUGUCAAGCUAUGCGCGCGCAGUUCGCUGCGCAAGGCCAACGCCCCCUUAAACGCAGUGAGGACACGCAUAGAACUGGCCACACAACGAAUAUGGCGCAUGCAGACAGGGCCAUACCGUGCAAAGCGACCAGUUGAUGCUCAGUCGGCCAGCCGCCAAUCCCACCGGCGGCUUUGGUUGUGUUCAAACCCGCCCAAUUCCUGCGGCAUGCUGCCGUCUUAAGCACUGUUUGCAGGCAUAACAUUAGCAACUACCUGAUUGCCCCCUCCCGGUGCAGCAACGACGGGGCAUGCCCAGGGAUUGCCCGCCACUCCUCAUUACGCCCCACAGCCAGAUAGCGCCAACCGAGGCGUUUCUGCAUAGGUAGACACGUCGCCACCCCAUCGUGUGCACAGGCAAGACAGUGCUUAGCCAAAUUGUCCAAGUUUGUGGCAUUGAACUGUUAUGGACUUCAGAUUGUGAGUUUUGCAGCAUAAUGUAUGUGCAUUUUAGACCUGAGGC
rnacentral:lncRNA from 1 species